rnacentral:rRNA from 1 species
AUGCACGCUGGCGGCGUGCCUAAUACAUGCAAGUCGAGCGAACAGACGAGGAGCUUGCUCCUCUGACGUUAGCGGCGGACGGGUGAGUAACACGUGGAUAACCUACCUAUAAGACUGGGAUAACUUCGGGAAACCGGAGCUAAUACCGGAUAAUAUAUUGAACCGCAUGGUUCAAUAGUGAAAGACGGUUUUGCUGUCACUUAUAGAUGGAUCCGCGCCGCAUUAGCUAGUUGGUAAGGUAACGGCUUACCAAGGCAACGAUGCGUAGCCGACCUGAGAGGGUGAUCGGCCACACUGGAACUGAGACACGGUCCAGACCCCUACGGGAGGCAGCAGUAGGGAAUCUUCCGCAAUGGGCGAAAGCCUGACGGAGCAACGCCGCGUGAGUGAUGAAGGUCUUCGGAUCGUAAAACUCUGUUAUUAGGGAAGAACAAAUGUGUAAGUAACUAUGCACGUCUUGACGGUACCUAAUCAGAAAGCCACGGCUAACUACGUG